GGUGUACGGAUAUUUUGCGAGCCAGUCUUGAUUUCGAAGAAACCGGUAGGGACUUCCUUGGUCUUUAAGAACCU
rnacentral:sRNA from 1 species